rnacentral:rRNA from 1 species
UACGGAGGGUGCGAGCGUUGUCCGGAAUCACUGGGCGUAAAGGGCGCGUAGGUGGCGUCGCAAGUCAACGGUGAAAGCUCGACGCUUAACGUCGAGUCGGCCGUCGAGACUGCGAGGCUCGAGCACUGUAGAGGCUCAUGGAAUUCCGGGUGUAGCGGUGGAAUGCGCAGAUAUCAGGAGGAACACCAAUAGCGAAGGCAGCUCGCUGGGACGUUACUGACACUGAGGCGCGAAAGCGUGGGGAGCGAACAGG